rnacentral:rRNA from 1 species
AAAACUUUCAACAACGGAUCUCUUGGUUCUGGCAUCGAUGAAGAACGCAGCGAAAUGCGAUAAGUAAUGUGAAUUGCAGAAUUCAGUGAAUCAUCAAAUCUUUGAACGCACAUUGCGCCCUUUGGUAUUCCAAGGGGCAUGCCUGUCCGAGCGUCAUUAC